UUUUUAUAGAAUUUUGCUAAAAAUAUUCAAUUUUAAAUAUUAAUAAUUAAUUAACUAACAUGUACAUCAUAGUAAAACCUAAAAGGGCAUAUUAAUAUAAGAAAUAACACAAUAUUUCAAUACAAAAAUAUAUCAAAGUGUACUAUAGUUUUACAAACUAAAUUGAAAUGUCAUUCACUUCAACCAUUACGAUUACAAGAAACUUCAAAUCUUGCUUGAACUUCAAAUCACUACAAAAACUUGCUUAAACUUCAAAUCACUAGCAUCCAAACUCAAGAUAGGAUCUGCAACAGUUCAUGAAACUCAGCGGAUUUCACUACGAUAUCACCUGGCUGCAAAGAGAAAUACACAAUAAGCGACUUCAUCCAAACUCAAAACAUGGAUGAAUAUAGCAUACUUGAUGAAUUUAGUACUACCAGCCAGUUAAGUUAUAUGGUGGAAUAAGACAUGUUAGUUGACAAGAAUAUAUUACAACAAUAACAACAUAAUACACAGUGAAAUUUCACAAGCGGGUUUGGGAAAGGUAGAAUAUACGCACAAGUAAUGACUUAUCCCCAGUUACGCUUGUCAGGGAGCAAAAGGAAAACAAUUACUAUUGUUUAUGUCCAGCCAAAUAAUACAACUUACAGAGUUAAGAGCCUGCUCAAGAAAUACAUCAGUAGCUACCUUUUUGUGUAACUCAAACCAAUUGGGUCUGCGAUGGCCACAAGCCACUACUCCCCUGUACUAAUUUUACUUUUUAAUGAAAUGCUUCAUAUUUCCUUACCAAAAAAAAAGUAACAACAAAUGGGUCCUAGUUAGAUAAAGUCUAAAGAUUAAUUCAUUGGGAAAAGAAAUUAAUUAGUAAUAUCUAUAUGGCUAGAUCUCACAUUAGUUGUACACUGAAAUGUACCUCUAAUCCUUAAUUCUUUGAAGUAUCAAAGUUCCAGAGAAAAAGAUUUUACUUACCAAUGCCAACCACCUUGCUAUGCCUAUAUAACAUAAUUAUAGGUGCAGUAAGUUCUCAAGACAAUGUAAAAUAUUCAUUAAACAACACCAACAACUAUAUAAAAGCUAUAACUUGAAAUGUAAAAGUCCAACUAGUGAAUUAGAAAAUACCAGUUACUAUUCAGAUGAUCAAUUAUAAUUUUUUGAAAAGGCACAAUUACUAAAAAUAAUGUGACCUCUCAAAACUGAACAUGAGUCUAAUGAUGCUUAGGAUUGGGUCUGUUGGGAGAAAUUGAAUUUUGCUUGCAAAAAGAGUCCACUGGCCAUCCAAGAUGUAAUCUUGGCAAUAAUCUUGUCCACUAAGGGUUUAAUUGGACUAUUGUAAGCCUUUUAGGUGUCGUUUAAUACAAAGAUUAAUAAUGUAGGGAUUAGUAAUGCAAGGUUCCUUAGUAAAAUUGUUUGGCACACCUAGAUAUUUGAAACAGAGUUCUCCAACCUCAUAUCCAAGCAUAGUCAAGAUGGUUUCCUUAGUAAAUUUGUUAAUACCUUCAAAACAUACCUGACUUUUCAAAAUGAUGGUCUUCAAAUCAGAAGCAUCAGAAAACAUAUUGAAUUUACCCCUCGAUAGUUGUAGUUGUAUAGAUCUGACAUCUCAUCUAGUAAAUAUAGUAAGUCAACAGCAACAAAGUACUGAUUCAAAACUGAUGUCAACAUCUAGAUGGAAAAAAAUGUUUCAUCAAACUUUCUUAGUUGUAAAUCAGCACAACUACAAAGAAAAAAGACAUUCUUGCAACUCUUCCAAAUCUGUUUGGGUUAAAGGAAUUUUGCAUUUAACUAUCAUUCCAUCUUCACUAACUAUCUAAAGGACAAAAUCAAAUAAAAAAAUACAAUAAACUCACAAGAUUUGUAGAGCGUCGCAGAACUUGAGCGAGUUGUGCAUGACUGCUUAUAAGAGCUUUUAUCUUCUUCAACAAUGCAGCCACAAAUAUUGACACUAUAGCACGAAAAAAUAGUGCAAACUGUCUUAAAGAAAGAUCUCAUCAGAAAAAUGAGAACCAAAUUUAAAAAGAAUAGCUGAAAAGUAGAUGAAACUUACGGAAAUAGCUGGGAAUAUAGACGAAAUCAGGUUCAGUAAUGUGGGAGGAGAUAGUGGUGGGAGUGACGUCUUUGGGAUCGGUGGCAAAAGGGAUGGUUGGGUUUGGGGACAAUUCCAGUUGUUGGGGAUGAUCGUAACAUGUAUACUCAAUAUACUCGAUAUGGUUAGUCAAUCGAUAAAGUGAAACAACCUUAUGGUGCUACUUCUAAUCCUACACAGGCUGAUGACGCGACAAGAAAGAACAGUUCAUCAUCAAACAAGUUGAAAACACCACAUUUCUCCAAUAUCACCACCUUAUAACAUAGAAACAAAUAUCAUAUCUCUCAAAUUUACCAGAUUCACUUACAACUAACAAAAAUCAAUUAAGAAGUUAAUCUAUCCAACCAAAAAAUCAAUUACUAGCAAGUUAUUCUCUAUGUAAACCUUAUUUAAUUAGAUUAUCCAUAUUGAAACCCUAAAGAAUCGAAGUUUAGGGGAAAUCCAAAAAGUACAAUAGUUAUAAACCUUAGAAAGAGCUGAAGCUUCUCCAUGGUGCAGGACGUAGGGCAACGAGCCUAUUGGAGCAUUCUUUUACUCCAAAAUCGGCGAAGAUAUUGCAGAUUUUCUGAAACUAAAAUAGAUUCAAAAUACAAAUCUCAAAACUUUUUACAAACAAUUUGAAGUUGAGAAAAAAAAAAUCAGUUGAUUUAUAGAUUGAAAAUGCAUGAAAAUGAGGAAAAGAGAACUCAUUUUUGAAGCUUUCGAUGUCUAAAUUAAGGAGCAAUUGUUAAAUAGAGAGAAAUUGGGAAGUAAGAGAGGAGAAGAGAAGUAUGAACCAACGAUACCGCCAAUCGCCACCGCCGCCUCCAUCUUUUCCUACUCCGACCACUGUUAUUGUGGAUGAAGACAGUGAUAGCUCCGCCACCAUGGAUUCGCCACCGUGCCGCCUCCAUCACUUCCUACUCCAACCCUAAUUAUCAUAUGAAAAUUGAUCAGUUCGGGAUCGCAGAAAAUAGAAUGAAACUUUUUUUUAUUUGGGGAUUAAAUGAGCAACGAUAUAAAAUUUUAUUUUUUAGGAUAGCGGCGGGUAAUAACCCCACAAAUUCUACUAAAAUUAUAGGGGUUAAUCAAACCUCCGUAAUUUGAUGUAAUUUGUGGGGGUUGAGUUAACCUCCAUUAUAAAACCUCUAGGAUUUAAGUGUUUUUUUGUAGUGGAU
rnacentral:lncRNA from 1 species